GGGAAGGGGUGGGGUGGAGGUGGUUGCACUUCAUCAACGUCAAAGACACCGGCAUAGAUAUUUGACCUCGUCAUUGCCUCGAUCUCAUUCACCCUCCGUUUGACUAGGACUUUCAUGAUUUCCUUAUUUUGUAAUGUAAAUAGGCUCUUAAAGUAGCAUUUGUCAACUUCUGUCAAACAUUGCUCCAUUGGUCUUCUCACUCAAAGCAUUGUCGUUCUUCUCAAAGAUUUUUUAUUUCAUUUCAGAUACAAAAAAAAUAGUAACAACAUACCGUAAUGAAUUAAUUAAUCAAUAUAGAAAAUAAAAUAGAAGAAGAAGUUAAAGUUUGAUAAACCUGUGAUAUGUCAAAGAAUUGCAAAAUUAUUAAGCAGUCUUGUAAACAGAUGAACAAUAUUGCACGAAAAACAGGAUGAAUGAUAUUUAAAAGAAUAAUAGCUAGGGUUGUCUUGGGGAAUUAAAUAAGAAAUAAAAUUAUUACAACCAACAUGUUUAUCCACUUACAAUAGUUAACAAAAUGUCACAUUGCUUCUACUAAAAAUCAUGAAUAGUGUUAGAUGUUCAGACUAUAGGAUGUCAUUGUCAAUGAUUUUAUAGUCUUUGUCAAAUCUUCUCAAAAAUCAAUCAAAAUCUGCCAAAAGGAUUUGAAAAUUUUUCUCACCUUUCUUGUCAAAAAUCUACCAAAAAGAUUUGUUGAAUCUAUGUUUUACAGUCCCCACUCAUCAGCAUUUUUAUUUUCUAUUAAUUAUAAGUAAAUGAAAUUAGAAUCCACAGAAAAAUAAAGAAAUAAUCAAAAAGAAAAUAUUAUUAUGCAGCAAAAAAUAAAGGUAAACAAAAAUAUAUUGAUGGUUUGAAAAUGAAUAGAACAAUCUGAAACAAAAAAAAUCUAAAAAGAUAUGAAUUUACUAAAAAGAAGACAUUCAAACCAAUCAAUAAUCCAAGAAUUAAAAUUACGGAUCUGCACCCAGUCAUUCUUUUUGAAAUAUCUACUAUCUAAAAAUAUCAUUUGUCACAGAUUGAUUAUACAUUUAACAACAAUAAAUGCACAUUCUUCACAACUGUAGAAGAUUAAGAUGUUCAAAAUGUCUCUUAUCCGAAAACCGACUUGAUGAAUGAAAUUGCUUCAUCCGUUAUAUAUUCUCCGCCUGUUUUGAAUUCCGCAAGAAGCGAUUUGAGUUUUAUACAUCUUAUAACCUACAUGAAGGACGUUUAUUAUCAUUGGGUUGAUGGGGAAGUAUUGACUUACGAGUUGUGGCAACCACUAUAAAGGAAAAAAGAGAGACAAAUUACUCAAAUUUGAAAGAUAAUGAAACUAAAAUUAAUAAACAGUAAAAGACUCAUUACUAAAUUAAAAAUUAAAAACUACCACUCUGUCAUGCAUCAUAUACGAUCUGUACAAUGUAAUAGUAAAUGUUGGCUGGACAGAUUUGUUGGCAUGAAUGGGAGUAAAGGUUGCAUUUUUUGGUGGAGGAGAAUAGGACUUUGUUUGAGAGUUUAUUGUUAUUGUGGAGUGUUAAGUGAUUAU
rnacentral:lncRNA from 1 species